rnacentral:rRNA from 1 species
UACAGAGGUCUCAAGCGUUGUUCGGAUUCAUUGGGCGUAAAGGGUGCGUAGGCGGCGCGGUAAGUCGGGUGUGAAAUCUCGGAGCUUAACUCCGAAACUGCAUUCGAUACUGCCGUGCUUGAGGACUGGAGAGGAGACUGGAAUUUACGGUGUAGCGGUGAAAUGCGUAGAUAUCGUAAGGAAGACCAGUGGCGAAGGCGGGUCUCGUGGACAGUUCCUGACGCUGAGGCACGAAGGCCAGGGGAGCAAACGGGGAUUAGAACUACCCGAGU